CCCCUAGAUGUUCUGGGCCGCACGCGCGCUACACUGAACAGUUCAACAAGUCUUAACCUUGGCCGAUAGGUCUGGGUAAUCUUUGAACGCUGUUCGUGAUUGGGAUAGACCUUUGCAAUUUUUGGUCUUCAACGAGGAAUUCCUAGUAAACGCAAGUCAUCAACUUGCAUUGAUUACGUCCCUGCCCUUUGUACACACCGCCCGUCGCACCUACCGAUUGAAUGGUCCGGUGAAGCCUCCGGAUUGGCGCGCACCUCGGUGCCGCCGAGAAGUUGGCUAAACCUUACCAUUUAGAGGAAGGUGAAGUCGUAACA
rnacentral:rRNA from 1 species